rnacentral:rRNA from 1 species
CCUACGGGAGACAGCAGUGGGGAAUAUUGGGCAAUGGGCGCAAGCCUGACCCAGCAACGCCGCGUGAAGGAAGAAGGCUUUCGGGUUGUAAACCUCUUUUGUCAGGGACGAAGCAAGUGACGGUACCUGACGAAUAAGCCACCGCUAACUACGUGCCAGCAGCCGCGGUAAUACGUAGGUGGCAAGCGUUAUCCGGAUUUACUGGGUGUAAAGGGAGAGUAGGCGGAGAGGUAAGUCAGAUGUGAAAGCCACGGGCUCAACCGGUGAACUGCAUUUGAAACUGUUUUUCUUGAGUGCAGGAGAGGAGAGCGGAAUUCCGAGUGUAGCGGUGAAAUGCGUAGAUAUACGGAAGAACACCAGUGGCGAAGGCGGAUUGCUGGACAGUAACUGACGCUGAGGCGCGAAAGCGUGGGGAGCAAACAGGAUUAGAUACCCGAGUAGUC